rnacentral:rRNA from 1 species
UAAUACGAAGGGUGCAAGCGUUAAUCGGAAUUACUGGGCGUAAAGGGUGCGUAGACGGUUUGUUAAGUCGGAUGUGAAAGCCCCGGGCUCAACCUGGGAACUGCAUCCGAAACUGGCAGGCUAGAGUGCGAUAGAGGAUGGUGGAAUUCCCGGUGUAGCGGUGAAAUGCGUAGAGAUCGGGAGGAACAUCUGUGGCGAAGGCGGCCAUCUGGAUCAGCACUGACGUUGAGGCACGAAAGCGUGGGGAGCAAACAGG